GGCCAAGAAUUUUGUCUUUAAAGGAGUUGACAGUGGGGUGUGGACCGUGUAGCCGAGACAGCUUGCAGGGUGGUUGUGCUCACCCCGCAUCAAGGUUGCUAAGCUGCUGUGAUGGAAUCCUGGAGCUGCUGAAGGACACCUCAUCUCUUUGUGGGAAGCAUCUGCUUGAGGAUUAAGGGAAUGCAGAAAAAAAGUGGAGUAGAGAGAUGGAGGAAGAUGACUUUCGAGGACAUUGUGUGAGCACCUGGAUCUAACUGUGCCUGAAGCAAAACUCAAACCCUGGACUCUCAAUGUAUUGGCUCUCAGUUCCAAGACCCAAUAAAUUCCUUC
rnacentral:lncRNA from 10 species